rnacentral:rRNA from 1 species
UACGAAGGGGGCUAGCGUUGCUCGGAAUCACUGGGCGUAAAGCGCACGUAGGCGGCUUUUUAAGUCAGGGGUGAAAUCCUGGAGCUCAACUCCAGAACUGCCUUUGAUACUGAGAAGCUCGAGUCCGGGAGAGGUGAGUGGAACUGCGAGUGUAGAGGUGAAAUUCGUAGAUAUUCGCAAGAACACCAGUGGCGAAGGCGGCUCACUGGCCCGGUACUGACGCUGAGGCGCGAAAGCGUGGGGAGCAAACGGG